CAGUCGCCGCGGUAAUACAGAGGGUGCGAGCGUUAAUCGGAUUUACUGGGCGUAAAGCGUGCGUAGGCGGCUUUUUAAGUCGGAUGUGAAAUCCCUGAGCUUAACUUAGGAAUUGCAUUCGAUACUGGGAAGCUAGAGUAUGGGAGAGGAUUGUAGAAUUCCAGGUGUAGCGGUGAAAUGCGUAGAGAUCUGGAGGAAUACCGAUGGCGAAGGCAUCCAUCUGGCCUAAUACUGACGCUGAGGUACGAAAGCAUGGGGAGCAAACAGGAUUAGAUACCCCUGUAGUCCCUGUCUCUUAUAC
rnacentral:rRNA from 1 species